AGGACAUUCGGAUCGUCGGUCUAUCGAGGAAUUUCACCCACUCGGUGGAAGAUCUUCCUUACGCCGU
rnacentral:pre_miRNA from 1 species